UACGUAGGGUGCAAGCGUUGUCCGGAAUUAUUGGGCGUAAAGAGCUCGUAGGCGGUUUGUCGCGUCGACUGUGAAAAUCCGAGGCUUAACCUCGGACCUGCAGUCGAUACGGGCAGACUAGAGUUCGGUAGGGGAGACUGGAAUUCCUGGUGUAGCGGUGAAAUGCGCAGAUAUCAGGAGGAACACCGGUGGCGAAGGCGGGUCUCUGGGCCGAUACUGACGCUGAGGCGCGAAAGCUAGGGGAGCAAACAGG
rnacentral:rRNA from 1 species